AUUGGUGUAUACCAAGGUCUUCUGCUGAUACCUUCAUGGUAUGUUCUGCAGGUUUGCUAAGUUAUGGAAAGUUAUUUUUUAUCUAUUGAAUUUAGAUCCGUGAGACUUUUGUUGAAGCUGAUAAGGUUAUAAUUAAAGUUUCCGACUAAUGGAUCAUCAUUUGUAAUUCCUUUUUAGAAUGUGUUUACUAUCAAGUGGUAUCAUGUAAAUGUAAUCAGAACAAAAAGGACUAGCUUCUUUGCGGGAGCAUGUUUCAAUUCUUCGCUUAACAUUUUCACUGAAACCUUGGUUUUGAUAAGAAAAUCUUGCUAUUUAUGGUUUUGGUAGUUAAGUUGAAGUUCAAUAAAGAAUAUGACCUGAGUUGGACAGAAAGUGUUGAGCAGGUACGUAAUCAUCCUGAUAGAAAUAAUAAACUCACCUCUACUUCAGUUGUUACUUCCAUCCUUCCUGUUUACUGCAUACUCUGUCUUUAUAAGCAACUCAAGCCCACUUUUUUCUUACGGUGUUUUAUGGUGUUGUGGAGUAGUGUUUCAUAAAAUAUUUAUAAGCAACUCAAGCCCACUUUUUUCUUACGGUGUUUUAUGGUGUUGUGGAGUAGUCGUCCUCAGUGCGGUGGAGCGUGGUGCCCCUGUUGUCCUGGCUUCCCUCCAUGAGCAGCCCCAACAGAUGCUAUCAAUAUUUAUGUUGAUGCCAGAUUCAGUAAAAUGCCUAGCUCAUGGAGCUAUCAUCUGAGGACACGGGUAGCACGCGGUUUCAGAUUCUCUAUUGUUUCUAUAUAGUCCAUAACGUCUACUGAGGUUCGUCUCCAAGCAUUCGGUUUUUCUUUACCCUAUCUCUUUGAUUGGCGGAGAAACAUUCGUGGAUAUGUUGCUUACCUAUAUGUGUGCAUCAUGUGAAAGAAAAAGCUAGACAUCAGCCAACCUCAGUGAAUGCACUUUGUUCGACAUAAAACAUGAGCAUAAAAGAGAGACAUGGUUGAGCUCACCAUGCUCUCUAGACGGAAUCAUCACAAAAGGUCGCAGAAGCUGCUAGGACAUUCGGGUUGGACUUUCAAAAGAAAACUCUCGAAAGAUCGUGGUUUGGAACAACUUCCAUCUCAAAGCUAAGGCGCGCACACAAUGCGCUCAGCUACAUUGAUUAAGAGACUGGAUGAUCUAGCAUGUCGAUAUUAUGUGAUUCCAGACUCCAAGAGUCGUUUGGCUGCGAGAGUGUUCCGACUUGAGAUCAACACUUCAUCUAAAGGACAUAGCAUAUCUUCAUUCACUGAUUUUGGAUUACAGUGCUGCCACAUAGGCCUAACUUCACACAUUAUGGUGUUCUUGCCAAAAUGGCGAGGGUAGCAUGUGUAGCUCUCUUCCCGGUAUUCUAGAUUAUGGACUGUGUGGAACAAGGUCAUAUUAUUUGUGGUAGCCAGUAAGUUUCUCUAAUAAUUACAAGAAGUGGUUUCGUUUCAAUGGAUACUAAGCAUCAUGUAUCUAUAUUAGGCUAUAUGGAUCAUUCGUAUGAAAAUCUUUUAUACUUAUUUGAUACAUGCGAGAGAAAUGUUGCUGAAAAAAUAGAGAACUUCUAUUCGUCCCAAAGUAGUUUGUAUGGAUAAGUAGACAGUGCAGAAAUCUGACUUAUUGACUUUAGUUCCAAAUCAUCGAAAGUAAUAGUAAAAAUGUCGUGUUUUGAAGAAAUAAAUUACAUCAUCUCACUAAUAUGUGUUUUGAGUCUGCGAAGCAAAGUUAAAUGUAUAUAAUUUCCAUGUACUGCAAUCUGAAUAUUUGUAGCUUAUGCUCAUUCAAAUAGGUUUCAUCUUUCAUGGUAUGCUAGCUAAUAGAAAUUUACUUUUCCUGAUAUGAUGCAUUGUUAACUUAGUUGGAAAUUCAUAACUACAAAGCUUCAGCUACGUAUUCCGAACAAGGUGAUAUUGAAGCUUGGACAUACCAGAGAUCAACCCGUCGAGAAGCAUGUAUAUACCAGGAAACCAAAGAAUCAGCCUAGAAGUAUGCAUUUUGUCCAGAACAAGCAGUGCACCUGCAAUAGAAAAUAAUAGCCACUUAUCUACCACUGCCACAAGUAUCUAUGUGAGCUCCAAGGAAAAACACUUAGUUACUAUGGAUCACUGCUGGAGUACUGUAAUAUCGACAAUCGCUCUGUAAUUCUAAGGUCCUUUCUUGGUUUGCUAUCAUGGCUACUAUGCAGGGAUAAUAGUGUUUUCAUAUACUGUUGAGUUUAAUGCUACACUAUGUGCUUUGUAUCGAAACAUGAAUAUAUAGAUCUAGCCUGACUUGCUCAUUCUUAUAAGUGCAUAUCAGUACAGUUAACUGGUGCGUACUAUCACCCUAUGAUGCAGACUUGAAUGUA